rnacentral:tRNA from 1 species
GGUUCCAUAGUGUAGCAGUUAGCACGUCUGCUUUACACUCAGAAGGUCCUGGGUUUUGUGCCCCAGUGGAGCCA